GAAAAAGUUGGGGCCUCCUCUCCGAUUCUAGUAUCGGACAAAGUAGUAAUUAACUCUCCCCUUCUUCCUGAGAACUGAGCUGAUCAUAGUAGCACGUUUCUUAGCCUUUCUGUUCUCUUCACUGGAAAAAAGGGCGUUGUGACAUCGCCCCCUCCUAGGUUACCCGGAUGAUUCGAGAGCUAACUCAGGCCAAGUGCUUAGCUCACGCGGCUCACGGCCCCUUCCCGGUGUAGACCUGCUGACAAUUCCAGCCCUUCUCACACCAUGUCAUCAUUGAGCUCUUUUUCCCCUUGGGAACUUCAGAUACCGAAGCGCUUACCACGUGCCUCGGGAAGAUUCUGCGCUCAGGUCAGGGGCCUAGGGAGCUGUUGAGCGGCAAGGCUGGUGACACUAAACUUGGGAAGCACAGAGCAGACAGAAGAAUUUCGAAAGACGGUGGUAGCACCUGCUGGCCUCCCUCGUUCCCUGCUGCCCUACAGGACCCUGACUUAUUUCUAACUUCCAAGGUAGUUUUAUAUUGGCCGUUUCCCUAUCUCUGUUUAAAUCUAUGACAUUUCUGAGUAGCAUUAUGGAUCAUAUCCGUCCCACACGUGGGACAUGCCUGCUUGGUCGCAAGCAUGCCCUGGAGGUAAUGCUGGUAAGCCAAGAGAGCCGUCUGAACAGAAGGUACUCGAACAUCUGCUUCCUGCAGCCAAGCCCUAGCGUGGCCUUCCCCACUCGCUGUAUUUUGUGUGCUAUGCACCAUAUACUCGGCCAGGACCCUUCUCCGCUUGGAGCCACGCUGGCUGACUGAGGGCUAAUGACACGGACCCCCCCCCAGGGAACAAUACCGCCCCAAACGCUAAAACAACGUUACAGAGGGCUGCGAGAACCUUCAAGGAACCCGCCGGGCGGGCAGGGGACCCAGGACAAAACGCAUUGUAAGCAUCACUGUCAGGGGGAGGCAAGUGACCGACAAUUGUACGACAGGCACUGGGUGAACCCGGGCUGACCCAUCACCACCCUGGGCACCGUGAGGAGACGAAGGAGCACUUGCUUCCGGGAGAGGAUGCCAUAGCCGCGGGCGCACCGGGGGCCACCUACGACGCGCAAAGCAAAGCUCCGGGUUCGAGGCCCCGCAGACACACAGCCCAGCUUACUUCUGUCGAGGUCACUUGAGGGAUUCUUCCAGAGACUGCCAGACGUGCCCACUGCCUUGGGAUCGAGUCCGGCUACACGGCGGCUCCAAACACCGUUGCCCAGAUCUUUUAACCCCAUCCACAGGCACAGUCAGGCUGGCAGCCUGGCCCGGGAACGCUGUUUCAACGUCGGCCACCCCACGGCCCCGACGGUGGUUUUCCUUCGUCGUGAUCCACUCGCAAAGGCUCCUCUCCUUUCCCUGGUCAGUGGGGCUGCCUGGACCCUCCUGAAGGAAGGCGACCUUCUGAGGUGUCCCCUCAGAGGCCCCUCAAACAGGGCCCCUCAGAGGCUCCAAAGGGGUUUUCCUUGGCAAGCCCCCUAAUGGGUUCCAAGAUGGCUUCCCCUGGUGGCUCCCAAGAACGUCU